rnacentral:rRNA from 1 species
UACGUAGGGAGCAAGCGUUGUCCGGAAUCAUUGGGCGUAAAGCGCGCGUAGGCGGCCCUGUAAGUCCGUUGUGAAAGUCAAAGGCUCAACCUUUGAAAGCCGAUGGAUACUGCAGGGCUGGAGUCCGGAAGAGGCGAGUGGAAUUCCUGGUGUAGCGGUGGAGUGCGCAGAUAUCAGGAGGAACACCAAUAGCGAAGGCAGCUCGCUGGGACGGUACUGACGCUGAGACGCGAAAGCGUGGGGAGCGAACAGG